rnacentral:piRNA from 1 species
UGUAGCUAGAGCUUUGCUAAUAUAGCAUGGG